GCCCCGGUAGCUCAGCUGGGAGUUAUUACCAAAAGCGCCCGGCUGAAGACCGGGUUGUCGGUGGUUCAAAAACAUAAUAUGUUGAAACUCCGCCCCGGGGCA
rnacentral:tRNA from 1 species